rnacentral:rRNA from 1 species
GAUGAACGCUGGCGGCGUGCCUAACACAUGCAAGUCGAACGGAGAUUACGGACGGAAGUUUUCGGAUGGAAGCCUGUAAUUCUUAGUGGCGGACGGGUGAGUAACGCGUGGGCAACCUGCCCUAUACAGGGGGAUAGCAGCUGGAAACGGCUGGUAAGACCGCAUAAGUCGGUUAAAUCGCAUGAUUUGAUCGGGAAAUGAGCAAUCAGGUAUAGGAUGGGCCCGCGUCCGAUUAGCCAGUUGGCAGGGUAAAAGCCUACCAAAGCGACGAUCGGUAGCCGGACUGAGAGGUCGGACGGCCACAUUGGGACUGAGACACGGCCCAGACUCCUACGGGAGGCAGCAGUGGGGGAUAUUGCACAAUGGAGGAAACUCUGAUGCAGCGACGCCGCGUGAGUGAAGAAGUAUUUCGGUAUGUAAAGCUCUAUCAGCAGGGAAGAUGAUGACGGUACCUGACUAAUAAGCCCCGGCUAACUACGUG